UUCCUGCAACUUAUUCUCUUGUCUUUCAAAUGCCCCUUGGCAAUCAGUAUUCUACCUGACCGUUUGAUCUCUUUUUGUUUUCGGUUCAGGCAUUUCUUGUAUUGUUUUUCCUUUUCUUUUCUUUUCUUUUUUUUCUUAUUUUUUUUCCUGUUUUUUUUAGCAGGGUCAACCUCGAUUCCUCUUUCGCUCACAAUAAGCCUCAGCAACUUUACCGGACAACACUCCACUAGUGCACUGAUUCGGACUCAACCUCGGUCUGAGUAGUCUCAACCGGUCCAACAACUUGCCCCGGUCCACCGGAUGCCCCUCUCCUGUUUGGGACUUUGCCAUCAUGUCAUUAACAUGGCAUUCGCUUUCACGAUGAAUCAUAUCAUGAAACAAAGUCAC
rnacentral:lncRNA from 1 species